AUUGAACGCUGGCGGCAGGCCUAACACAUGCAAGUCGAACGGUAACAGGAACCCGCUUGCUGUUUCGCUGACGAGUGGCGGACGGGUGAGUAAUGUCUGGGAAACUGCCUGAUGGAGGGGGAUAACUACUGGAAACGGUAGCUAAUACCGCAUAACGUCGCAAGACCAAAGAGGGGGACCUUCGGGCCUCUUGCCAUCGGAUGUGCCCAGAUGGGAUUAGCUAGUAGGUGGGGUAACGGCUCACCUAGGCGACGAUCCCUAGCUGGUCUGAGAGGAUGACCAGCCACACUGGAACUGAGACACGGUCCAGACUCCUACGGGAGGCAGCAGUGGGGAAUAUUGCACAAUGGGCGCAAGCCUGAUGCAGCCAUGCCGCGUGUAUGAAGAAGGCCUUCGGGUUGUAAAGUACUUUCAGCGGGGAGGAAGGGAGUAAAGUUAAUACCUUUACUCAUUGACGUUACCCGCAGAAGAAGCACCGGCUAACUCCGUG
rnacentral:rRNA from 1 species